rnacentral:rRNA from 1 species
UUCUCUGGUUGAUCCUGCCGGACCCGACUGCUAUCGGAUUGAGACUAAGCCAUGCGAGUCAACCCGCAAGGGUGGCGGACGGCUCAGUAACACGUAGUGAACCUGCCCUGGGGACGUGGACAACCACGGGAAACUGUGGCUAAACCGCGAUAGGUCAUUGUUUCUGGAAUGGGCAAUGGCUCAAACCUACAUGGCCCCAGGAUGGCACUGCGGCCGAUCAGGUUGUUGGUGAGGUAAUGGCCCACCAAGCCUGUAACCGGUACGGGCUCUGAGAGGAGGAGCCUGGAGAUGGGCACUGAGACAAGGGCCCAGGUCCUAUGGGACGCAGCAGGCGCGAAACCUUCGCAAUAGGCGAAAGCCUGACGAGGUUAUUCCGAGUGUUCCCUGCUAAAGGGAUCUUUUGCCAGCUCUAAAAAUGCUGGUGAAUAAGGGGUGGGCAAGACCGGUGCCAGCCGCCGCGGUAAUACCGGCGGCUCGAGUGGUGGCCACUAUUACUGGGCUUAAAGCGUUCGUAGCUGGUUUGUUAAGUCUCUGGGGAAAUCUUCCGGCUUAACCGGAAGGCGUCUCAGGGAUACUGGCAGACUAGGGACCGGAAGAGGUGAGGGGUACUCCAGGGGUAGGAGUGAAAUCCUGUAAUCCUUGGGGGACCACCUGUGGCGAAGGCGCCUCACCAGGACGGCUCCGACAGUGAGGGACGAAAGCUGGGGGAGCAAACCGGAUUAGAUACCCGGGUAGUCCCAGCCGUAAACGAUGUGCGUUAGGUGUAUCGGUGACCACGAGUCACCGAGGUGCCGAAGAGAAAUCGUGAAACGUACCGCCUGGGAAGUACGGUCGCAAGGCUGAAACUUAAAGGAAUUGGCGGGG